GAGUUUGAUCCUGGCUCAGAGUGAACGCUGGCGGCGUGCCUAAUACAUGCAAGACGAACGAUGAAGCUUUUAGCUUGCUAGAAGUGGAUUAGUGGCGCACGGGUGAGUAAUGCAUAGGUUAYGUGCCCUUUAGUCUGGGAUAGCCACUGGAAACGGUGAUUAAUACUGGAUACUCCCUACGGGGGAAAGGGGCUUNNNNNNNNUUCGCUAAAGGAUCRGCCUAUGUCCUAUCAGCUUGUUGGUGAGGUAAUGGCUCACCAAGGCUAUGACGGGUAUCCGGCCUGAGAGGGUGAUCGGACACACUGGAACUGAGACACGGUCCAGACUCCUACGGGAGGCAGCAGUAGGGAAUAUUGCUCAAUGGGGGAAACCCUGAAGCAGCAACGCCGCGUGGAGGAUGAAGGUUUUAGGAUUGUAAACUCCUUUUGUAAGAGAAGAUUAUGACGGUAUCUUACGAAUAAGCACCGGCUAACUCCGUGCCAGCAGCCGCGGUAAUACGGAGGGUGCAAGCGUUACUCGGAAUCACUGGGCGUAAAGAGCGCGUAGGCGGGUAGUCAAGUCAGAUGUGAAAUCCUGUAGCUUAACUACAGAACUGCAUUUGAAACUGACCAUCUAGAGUAUGGGAGAGGUAGGUGGAAUUCUUGGUGUAGGGGUAAAAUCCGUAGAGAUCAAGAGGAAUACUCAUUGCGAAGGCGACCUGCUGGAACAUUACUGACGCUGAUGCGCGAAAGCGUGGGGAGCAAACAGGAUUAGAUACCCUGGUAGUCCACGCCCUAAACGAUGAAUGCUAGUUGUUGCCCUGCUUGUCAGGGCAGUAAUGCAGCUAACGCAUUAAGCAUUCCGCCUGGGGAGUACGGUCGCAAGAUUAAAACUCAAAGGAAUAGACGGGGACCCGCACAAGCGGUGGAGCAUGUGGUUUAAUUCGAAGAUACGCGAAGAACCUUACCUAGGCUUGACAUUGAUAGAAUCCGCUAGAGAUAGUGGAGUGCUGGCUUGCCAGAGCUUGAAAACAGGUGCUGCACGGCUGUCGUCAGCUCGUGUCGUGAGAUGUUGGGUUAAGUCCCGCAACGAGCGCAACCCUCGUCCUUAGUUGCUAGCAGCUCGGCUGAGCACUCUAAGGAGACUGCCUUCGUAAGGAGGAGGAAGGUGAGGACGACGUCAAGUCAUCAUGGCCCUUACGCCUAGGGCUACACACGUGCUACAAUGGGACAUACAAAAAGAUGCAAUACCGCGAGGUGGAGCAAAUCUCUAAAAUGUCUCUCAGUUCGGAUUGUAGUCUGCAACUCGACUACAUAAAGCUGGAAUCGCUAGUAAUCGUGAAUCAGCAAUGUCACGGUGAAUACGUUCCCGGGUCUUGUACUCACCGCCCGUCACACCAUGGGAGUUGUAUUCGCCUUAAGUCGGGAUACUAAAUUGGUUACCGCCCACGGCGGAUGCAGCGACUGGGGUGAAGUCGUAACAAGGUAACCGUAGGUGAACCUGCGGCUGGAWCACCUCCUU
rnacentral:rRNA from 1 species